rnacentral:lncRNA from 1 species
GUUAUCAUUUAAACAAAAUAAAAAUUUUCUCUCUCUUUUCCCCCUCUUGAAUCAAGAGCAAGGAUUGAAGGAGUUCUCAAGAUUGAGCUAAAGAGAAGAUUUUGAUUUAUAUUCAAAUCAUUGAGUAAGUGUUGAAACUUAGAUCUAAUUAUAUUUGUGAUAGAUAUGAGUGUAUAUGGAUAGAUCAAGCAAAAAAACACCACCCUUUUUAAUUCUUUAAAUUUUCGAAAAUUAGGGUUCUUGCCCUUCAAAAAAAUUUCUUUUUCUUUUCUUAAAUUGAGGUUACAUUUAUGUAGUUGGGAUCAUAUUGAGUCUACUUCUAUAUGCAAGGAAUGAAUUUAAAAUGAAUUGUGAAUUUUCAAAUGAGUUAGUUUGUGUAAAUUUGGGAAACCUUGAUCUUGAGGAUGGAUCGAUGAAGUGAUGAUUGAUAUAUGUUAUUGAGGAUGUUAAUAUGAUAUUUGAUGGAUUGGAUUGACGAUUGAGAUGGAUUGGUGGAAUUUGAAGUGAGUUAGUUUGAUGGAAUUUGGGCAUAUGUGUUUCUAUGCUUUAAUUUACUAAUUGUUGGCUUAUAUGUGUAAUUAAGUGAGUUAAUUUGAUAGAUCUAAGGUUGAAUUGAUGAUUUAUGCAUGUUUGAAGAUUUUGAAAAAGUUUAGUUUACCUAAAAUUGGGACUUUAUUAUAUAUGUGCUAAUUUAUUAAAUUAGCUAUGUAUAAUUGAUAUUGAGCAUGAUAAAAAUGAUAAUUUAUGAUCAAUUUGAUUAAUUAUUAAGAAUGCCUAAAAUUGGUUAAGUUUAGUUUGCUAAUUUUAGGGAUUUUUGAUUAAUGAGAUCAAUACUUGAAUUGAUAAUGAUUAUGUGUUAAUUAGACUACUAGGAAGGUGAAAGCAUGAUUAAAUUGGUAUAUGAUAAUGAGAUGUGAAAAUUUCACCGAGUUAGUUUGCAUGCAUAUAAGAGAUCUUGUAUAUGAGAUGAGUUAUGAGAUGAAUGUGUCUAUAUGUGGCUUAUUGACGAUGAAUUGAGCCUAUAUAUGAAAGAUGAGACGAAACGAAUCAUUCCCUAAAAAUCUAUGAAGUGACCGAAUGCAUGCCUAGAAAGUGGAAGCCGAGUUUGAUUUUUCUUGAGUCGUUUGAUCAUGUAUUCAUGCUGUUGUGUAUUAUGUGAGUCUAAUGUGAAUUUUCAAGAAAUUUUCAACUAAGAAAUUCAGAGUUUAGUUUGUCAAGAAUGAGAUAAAAUGGCAUAACUUGUUGAUGUGAAUUAUUUUUGGAUAAAUGAUUUAAGAAUGUUUCAUAUUAUGUUUUUGGCUUUCUAAAAUAAAUUUUCGGGAAUUUUUCCCCAACUAAAAUGUUUUCCGUUUUUUAUAAAAAAAAUUAAGUAUGUUUGAUAUGAUGUAAAUCAAUUCGAUUAAUUUUGCUGUGAGCUAAUAUGGGAUUUAUAUUGCUUGUGUGGAUGCUUAUCUAUAUGUUUGUUGUCGAUAUAGUUUAGUUCUAUAUUGGGUGAUAAGUCAAGAAUCGAAAUAGUAUUUACUUAGGAAGAGUUUCCGAUAUGAGAUCGAGUUAGAUGGAGUGUAGUGUUGGAAUAGUACUAAGAUAGGAAUAGAGUUCUUAGUAAGGAAGUUUCUGACUGAUUUCUUUUAUUCUUAUCAUGAACUACUCUGUUGUGAUGAUACCUGAAGAUACAAGCAGAGGACAGAAGUAAGUUCACCCGAGUGCUACAAGACUAAGCUAAGUUUGUCAUGUGGGCAUUAUUUUACUAUACGUAUAUAGAGAUCCCCCUGCGUGUCUUAGGCCUCUAAUACGAAAUGAAAUGAAUGAUAUGAUUUAACUGUUCAGUUUCUGUUUGAUGAAAACUACCAAUGAUGAAUGAUAGAGUUAAAGUUGUGUUUAAACUAAUUGACUUGCCAAUUUUUGAUGAUGAUGAGCUUGUAUGUUACCCUCUACUGAUGAGACGAAUUCGGUCAUGCCACAAGCGGAAUUUUAUGCACAGAGGUGACUGUGAGCCAUCUAUCGGGUCGGCCGGUCAUGGUACCUGAGAGAGAGGCCUACUUCUCAGUACCUUUGAUGAUGAGUUGUAGAUGUGGUACAUACAUGAUGAAUAUUUUUACUGCAGUUGUUUAUUAUGAUGUUUAUGAUUAAAAUUUUCAUGCACAUGUUCGUUUAUACUAAAAUCCCCGUGUUUUGCUCGAAUUGUGACAAGUUCAAUUAAUAGUUCUAAGAGCAAGCUUUCAUUUGUUUUUCGGCAUAUGUCCAUUGAGUAUUCUGUACUCAGCCCUGCAUGUAUUUCUAAACGUGCAGGAUAAGCGAGGAGGGAGAUUGGACUAGUGCUGGUGGGGACUUUGUUUCGAAUGAUGUUUCCUUUUUCCGUAUUUCUAUUUCUUAUGGUAGUACCGUAAUGAUGGAGUUUAUUUUGGAUUUGAUCAAGGAAUAUACACUUAGCUAUAUGUCUUCAUACAUAUAGUCUAUUCACGUUUUACUGUGAUACUCUGCAUUUUAUGAACCAUUGUAAAUAUUGAACUAUUUCCACUUUGUAAAUGUUGUCGAGAAUCUUGAUACUUUUGAACUUAUGAAGCCGAUGAUAUUUAUAUCUUUGAGAUGUUAUUAUUGUUGCUUGCC